rnacentral:rRNA from 1 species
UACGUAGGGUGCGAGCGUUAAUCGGAAUUACUGGGCGUAAAGCGUGCGCAGGCGGUUAUGUAAGACAGUUGUGAAAUCCCCGGGCUCAACCUGGGAAUUGCAUCUGUGACUGCAUAGCUAGAGUACGGUAGAGGGGAUGGAAUUCCGCGUGUAGCAGUGAAAUGCGUAGAUAUGCGGAGGAACACCGAUGGCGAAGGCAAUCCCCUGGACCUGUACUGACGCUCAUGCACGAAAGCGUGGGGAGCAAACAGG